ensembl:snoRNA
UACUGUGGCAGUGAUGACUUAACUUUUUUCCCCGACAGAUCGACUCUGUUGAGUUUUGUAGAAAAUUAAGCCAAACUGUCUGAGCCAUGGUU